GUGAAUCAUCAAAUCUUUGAACGCAAAUUGCACUCUCUGGUAAUCCGGAGAGUAUGUCUGUUUGAGGCUCAGAAUAAAUAACAAUCGGUGUGGUUGCUGCCUUUCGUGGUGACGCACUGGAUGAGGGUAGUCUUGCUUUCGGUUAAGUGAUCUAAAUUUUUGCAUGAUUUUUUCGAACGUAUCUAAAUGUUUUUACGAACGUUUGCGUUAUCGUAUACUAGGUA
rnacentral:misc_RNA from 1 species